rnacentral:rRNA from 1 species
UGGGGAAUAUUGCACAAUGGGCGCAAGCCUGAUGCAGCCAUGCCGCGUGUGUGAAGAAGGCCUUCGGGUUGUAAAGCACUUUCAGCGAGGAGGAAGGUGGUGAGCUUAAUACGCUCAUCAAUUGACGUUACUCGCAGAAGAAGCACCGGCUAACUCCGUGCCAGCAGCCGCGGUAAUACGGAGGGUGCAAGCGUUAAUCGGAAUUACUGGGCGUAAAGCGCACGCAGGCGGUUUGUUAAGUCAGAUGUGAAAUCCCCGGGCUCAACCUGGGAACUGCAUUUGAAACUGGCAAGCUAGAGUCUCGUAGAGGGGGGUAGAAUUCCAGGUGUAGCGGUGAAAUGCGUAGAGAUCUGGAGGAAUACCGGUGGCGAAGGCGGCCCCCCUGGACGAAGACUGACGCUCAGGUGCGAAAGCGUGGGGCAGCAAACAGGAUUAGAUACCUUGGUAGUCCACGCUGUAAACGAUGUCGAUUUGGAGGUUGUGCCCCUUGAGGCGUGGCUUCCGGAGCUAACGCGUUAAAUCGACCGCCUGGGGAGUACGGCCGCAAGAUUAAAACUUAAAUGAAUUGACGGGGUCAUAGCUGUUU